rnacentral:sRNA from 1 species
UUGCCACCCAGCUCUUCAACUUGCUCUCGGGAGAGGUAGGUGCCUGGGUCCCUGGGGGAUUCCCCGCCCACCUGUGAACCCAGUGCCUUCAAUGACAGGAACCUCAAACCCUGACCCCAGACCCUGACUGUGCAGCUCCAGGAGCCCCGCCUCCUCCCACAGUGGCCCCUGCGCCGCCUUCCCCCACAGGGUUACCUGGAAUGGUCCCCUCUCUUCUAUGGCUUCUACCCGCCCCGCCCACGCCUGGCGGUCACCUACCUGUGCUGGGCCUUUGCCGUUGGCCUCAUCUGCCUCCUGCUCAUCCUGCAUCGCUCGGUGUCUGGGCUGAAGCAGACACUGCUGGCGGAGUCCGAGGCUCUGACCAGCUACAGCCACCGGGUGUUCUCGGCCUGGGACUUCGGUCUCUGCGGGGACGUCCACGUGCGGCUGCGCCAGCGCAUCAUCUUGUACGAAUUAAAGGUGGAGCUGGAAGAGACAGUGGUGCGGCGCCAGGCUGCGGUGCGGACGCU